AGGAAGAGAUAACUUCAUCUUGUCAUACUAAAAUGGAAAUUGAGAAAAAUCACAAGAGAUAUAAAGAAGAAAAUAAAUUUCACAGUGAUAACC
rnacentral:lncRNA from 1 species